GCCGCCCCACGCCCGCCCGCGCGGGCCUCGGGCCAACGCGCGAUGCCCGGGGCACCUGCACGGCCCGAGCGCGUCACACGUUUACGGAGGGGCUUUCAGUUAAAACGCGACAGAAUAGCAAACACAAAGACGAAUCUCACUCUUCGGGAGUCUUCACAGAAAUGGAAGAUCAACCAAUAGUUCAGUCUGCUUGGAAUGAGACAUCUGCAACUGUGAAGUACAUCCUCUUUCCCUUUUUACGUGCGAACUGACAAAAGCCAGCUGCUGAUCUCCUGGCUGAUCAGAAUGUUCGUUCAACAGAUGCAGGCUUAAGAAGUUCAGGAGCUGACUGCAGGGAGAUGCAUGGAAUAUAGGAACACCAACCCCAAACCAAGUUUCAUACCAGUCUCCACCACGUGACAUCAGAACCAACCAUGGAACUCGAUCUGAUACCCUCUCCCCAUCUCCCCUUUAUUCCUUUAAAAGUUCUCUCGCUAACCUGCAAAUUAGGAAGAAGACUUUUGGAACUAAAGAAGUUCACUCUUCCCCAAGAUUGCUGGCUUCUUGAAUAAAACUGUUACCUGGCUUCCA